UACGGGGGGGGCAAGCGUUGUUCGGAAUUACUGGGCGUAAAGGGCGCGUAGGCGGCGCGGUAAGUCACUUGUGAAAUCUCUGAGCUUAACUCAGAACGGCCAAGUGAUACUGCAGUGCUAGAGUGUGGAAGGGGCAAUCGGAAUUCUUGGUGUAGCGGUGAAAUGCGUAGAUAUCAAGAGGAACACCUGAGGUGAAGACGGGUUGCUGGGCCGAACACUGACGCUGAGGCGCGAAAGCCAGGGAGCAAACGGG
rnacentral:rRNA from 1 species